CCUCAUUUUCUCCUGGCGCCGCCAUGUAAGAAGUGCCUUUUGCCUCCCGCCAUGAUUCGGAGGCCUCCCCAGCCAUGUGGAACUAUAUUUUCUAAAAGUAAAGACUUUAAAGAAAGGCACAGGAGGCUGGGAGCAGUGGCUUACAUUUGUAAUCCCAGCACUUUGCGGGGCUGAGGCCGGAGGACUGCUUGAGUCCAGGAGUUUGAGACCAGCCUGGGCAACACAGCUUGACUGUGCAUGACUGGAGACAGUGCGAGGUCGCCGAGUCCAUAAGCAGCAAGAAGGGCACACAGAAGGAGAAAGGAGAAGCUUGCUGCCGGAGGAGACAAACUGGACUUUACAGUGUUCUCCGGGGUGGGACCUGACUUUGACCUCAUGUAUACAGAUGGGCCUGACUGAGCUCAUCCAUGCUUAUGUCCGGGUGCUUAAGUCUUAUGGUAAUGUAUUUUUUUUUCAAUUGCCAUUGAAAGAUGUGAGAAAUGAAACAUGAAAAUAUUUAAUAAUUCAGCAUUUCCAAGUGUCUAGACUACUGAACAUAUUAUCCAAGAAAUUAUUUAGAAGAAAGGGAAAGGAAAUAGGCAAGAGAUUUUAUGAGUACUGACUAUGAAUCAGUUGUUUUCAGAGUUGUAUUUCUCACAGAAUAGAUACUAUUUUCCCUGUUUCACAGAUGACAAAUGUGAGGGUCAGAUAGAUUAGGAAACGUGCCCAAAGUUUCACAGCUAGUCAAUGAGAGAAAGCAUUUUCCAAGCCAGGUUCACUUGGCUGCAAAGCACUUACUCUUUCUGAUAUACAGCAUGCUGCCUAGAUGUUUUAGCACAUUUGGAUUACAAAAAUGUUAGAAAUAAAAUUAUGUUUGUGAAAGGAUGGGCAUUUAAAAAGCUCUGGGUUAUGGUUGUCUGUGGUUGAAAUUAUAAAAUGAUAGUUCCCCCCACACACAUACAGCAUACACACACACACACACACAGACACACACAUACACACACACAAAUGUGGGUUAUUAUGGCUGAGUCAUUGAAUUUAUUUGGAAGAACCAUCUUCUUUUGCAUGACAGAAUACAGAUGGCCAUAAACUAUUUACCCAGACAUUUUGGGGUUGAGGGAUGUAAUCAUCAUUUGAAACAAAAAUACAACUCUAGAAAUACAUAUGAAAGUGAAUUACUUUGUUAAUGUGAAAGGGAAAAGGGGGAAAAUGAAUAAAACAGCAAGAAUACAACUGAAAGGAGACUAAAAGGAACAAGGGCAAACUGUCUUUGAGCACAAGGCAUAUGCGUAUGCUACACAGAGCGUUGUUCUAGAAAUGUUUAUAAACAAUGGAUGUUUGUGGAAUGAAAAACUGAAUAGCUGUGAUAUUAAGGCUUUCCACUCCUGGGAAAAAUAUGGACACCAUGGCUUAUAAGUUAUUUGAUUCUGACAAGCAUCUUCCUACCUCCUCUAACAUUUGGUUAUAUUAACUAUAUUGGAGGCUUUUCCUUUUGUUACUCUGUGUUUCUGCCAUCUGAAAACAAUGAGCUUAAACAGCUAUCAUGCUGUCAUUUUGCCCUGUGAAUAGACUCGUUAAUAUAGAAACCUAAUGAAAUGAUUGUUUUAAAAAAAGAAAAAAAAUCCCAUUCUAUACGUGUUUUACUUCUUAAAAUGUCCCUAAAUUACAAAGAUUCUCUGAAAAGAUAAAAAAUAUCUCACAUAUUCAGAGGAUGACUUUAGCCCAUUGUUUCAGGGCUUUUUCAUGCCUUAUCUCCUUUUAAAAACCAUAACAGGCUGUGAAAAACAAAAUAAAUUAAGGAGAAUAGUUCCUUCCUUUUUAUGAUAAAUCUGCAUGUGGCGGUGACGGUCAAGUACAAACUGUAAAUAAGUGAAAUAACUCAUAACUAGUAAUAUACAGGUUAAUCAACUAUGAUUAAAAGUAAAUAGGUUUUUCACCAAGAACAAUAUCUUUAACUCAAAAUUAAAUAAUUGGCAGCAUGCUAGGUAAAUUAUAAAAUAAGGAAUUUCUAAAAGCAGAGAAUGAUGUUCUUUCUCCGUUGUCAAUCUGAUGAGUCUUGGUGACCUUUUGUUCACAUUAAUGCUGACAAACUGCAUCAUGCAUGACCGUCCCAACCCCCUUCUCCUCCCAAUAGUUCCUUCUUUGAUUCUAAUCUGUAUUCAAGGGUGUGGGGUGGGACACUUUAGUAAGGGGUGGGGGCGAGGGGAUGGCAAUGGUAGACGCUGGUCGGGGCUGUCAAUAACCUUGGAGGCCUUUGGGAAGAGCAGAGGACAAUAAUUUAUUGCAGUAUAGGAGAGACAGCUAGGAAGUAAUUCCUCCGUGUUACCUUUAUAAUUUGAGAAGGCGUCCAAAGAAAUAACACAUCAGAGUUCAGUGCUAUGAAGGAAAAAGCACUGGACAAGUUAUUUGGAUGGGUAUUCUUGGUUUUCUUGGUUACAAUUUAAGGCAAAUAUGAAACUCAAAAAGGUACCUUGGGACCAUCGUGUUCUUGGGAAGUUGACACAAGAACCACAACAGUUUAGAGAAACCCCUAAAUAUCCAUCUUAGAAAAAAAAAGUACACAUUUUUAGUUCUUAGGAGAAAGAGCAAUAGAUUUAUUUGAAUGAAAUAAUUAAUGAGUCAUGGUCCCCCAGACCUUUUUCAGGCAUGAAGCUAGCACUGAAUACUUUGUGCUUUCAAAGUUUCAAAUGACCUUCAGUUAAACUUUUAUAACAAGGUUCCUUUAAAACACAUUUAUGCUUUGCUAUUAACACUACUACCAAUAAUACAGUAAUUACUAAUAGUGGGUAGUAAUGGCAUUACAUAUGAAUCUCAGAAUUAAAAUUAGCUGUUCAUCUCCAUCCUUCCCAACAGCCUGAGAGUGUGUCAAGACAUGGGACCACACAGAAUCUUACUGUUUGUAUUUUCAACGUCUUGCGUACAGUGACAAUAAAUGAAUGAGAGUUUUAAAAAACUGUAUAUAAAGACUAUUGAGUCCUAUUACAAACACAUUGUUUACACACAUAUAAAUCUGUGCUAUGACACUAGGUAUAAGCAUACAGAGGACACCUAACUUCACUUGAAGUCUAAGUAAACACAAAACAUGGCCUACAGUGAUUUCCCUGAGUUGGAGAACCAUACACAUGUCUGGUUGUCCUUUGGACAAGCUGGUAACAUGAAAAAGAGGCAAGACCAAUGUAAACACUGAUAUAUUCAUGAUAAUGCAAAAACAUUAAGAUUCAUUAAAAUGUUACAAAUAAGAAAAUCACUUGUGUUUUGGUAUUUAUAUACUUGAAGGAAGUUUAUUUGGCAUUAUGGGAGUUUAUUACAUUUCUAAUCAAAGUCUACUGACGACUCGUGGAGGGAGAGGAAAGCUGUCAGGUUCUCUAACUUAUCCAUCUGUUCAUGCCUCCCCCCUGGAUGGCACCCGUUCUCCAAUGGAGAAGCGGAGCACUGGCCUCUUGAAAGCUGUCUUUCUGGCACUGCCUUCCUGAGCGAAUGAAAUGGUUUGGUUUAGAAUACCUUCCCUUUCAGUCCUGUCCCAGCUUCCAGAUGAAUGUCCUUAAUUUUAAAGAAGCACAGUCCAAUAGUUUCUAUGUUGCUGGAAGAAGAAAAUUAAAUUAUGUUGUAAUUAUGUAGUCAACUAGCAUAUGGUCCUUUACCGGGGAAAAGUAGUUUUUAACCUCUCCCGUAAACUCUAGAGGGAACUUACAGAAGAGAAAUUCAGGCACCAGGAAACACAUGUAUUCAUCAUUUUAUUGGUUCUUAAAAUUUACUGUGACAUGGGAGGAGAACCUAUCAUCCUGCAUACUCUCAUGAAUGUAGCAGAUGAAAUCCAGGAAAGUUUAAUCAAUAAAAAUGACAGUACAUAUAUUUUUGUAGUACUUAAAAGUUUAUAACACACAUGCAUUAUCUCAUGUGACCCUCACAAACAACUAAAACUAAGGGCAGGGAUGAUCUUCAAUUUCAAGAUAAGAAACCAGGCUUGAGGUUAUUAAACUUUUUUUUUAAGACAAAAAUCUCACUCAGACUAUUACAUCUUAAAAUGAGGGUUAAUCUGGAAAUAGGCCAGUCAGUAUGAACCUGUUUUUAAGAUCAUUCAGCUAGUUUGGAGGCAAAGUCAAGACACAAACUCUGCCUUCUCCAAGCAAAAUUAGCACUCUUCACAAAUUCCUAGAACUACAUCAGUAGUUCAUGGUCAUAGACUAUUUACGUAAGAUUUCCUGCUUUAUAGUUUGGUUUGUCAAUGCAGUGCUCUUAGUGGUGGGCAUAUUUUAAAAAAAUCACUUAAUAGAAGAAAUUAAACAAUAAUGGGAUCUAAACUAUUGGAAGAAACAGUUAAAAGUAGUUUUAAAAUAAGAGAGGGGAGAGCUGGACAUUAAAGUACUAAUUUUACUUCUGAAAUUAUUUUUUUCCAGCUUUCUACAUGGUGUUAUCUUAAUAUUUGAAACUCUUAAGAUGUCAGUUUGAAUCCCUGCAUUACAUUUUAUAUAAUUUCUGUUGGUAUUGCUCAUAGAGCUUAUGUGACUAAUUAAACCUCACUGCAAUUACUUUUCAAGCAGAAGCUGUAGUUUACUUAUUUCUCAACAAAAACUAUGAUCAUUUGCCUUGUUUCCCAUGCAUUAUUCGAUGACUGAUUACUGUUACAGCGUGGAUUAUGUUUUGUAUUCCGCAGCACGCAAGCAUUAAUCUUCACUUAUUCUGCAAUAGUAUAAUUCAUUAAAACACAUGCUUUGAAUUUGGGGCACAUACAAGAAGAUGUAACCACACAGAAUACAGUGCUUUUAUGACAAAACAUAAUUAAUAAAACAUAAAAUGUGUUUUAUGAAGUUAUGGUUUUAAUUUGCUAUCUCAAGAAAU
rnacentral:lncRNA from 1 species